UGAGGAAUUUUGCGCAAUGGGCGAAAGCCUGACGCAGCAACGCCGCGUGGACGAUGAAGGUCUUCGGAUCGUAAAGUCCUGUCGAGUGGGAAGAAAAAUAUCGCUUCUAAUAAACGCGGUAUUCGACUGUACCACCAAAGGAAGCCCCGGCUAACUCCGUGCCAGCAGCCGCGGUAAUACGGAGGGGGCCAGCGUUGUUCGGAAUUAUUGGGCGUAAAGGGCGCGUAGGCGGCCGAAUAAGUCUGAUGUGAAAUCCCCCGGCUCAACCGGGGAACUGCAUUUGAAACUGUUCGGCUCGAGUCCGGGAGAGGGUAGUGGAAUUCCCAGUGUAGCGGUGAAAUGCGUAGAUAUUGGGAGGAACACCGGUGGCGAAGGCGGCUACCUGGACCGGUACUGACGCUGAGGCGCGAAAGCUAGGGUAGCAAACAGGAUUAGAUACCCGUGUAGUCC
rnacentral:rRNA from 1 species